AGGCCAUGAUGCUCUCUGAGCCUG
rnacentral:miRNA from 1 species